GAAAUCUUCAAAGUAAAUCUUUUGUAACUCAUUGGUUCUACUUUGGUAUUGGAGGCCAUUGCAGCUUCACACCUGCUCCUCUUUGUUCAUUAGCUGGAUCUCAGUGUUAUGCUUGGUUCCACUCAGCGUGAUAAGUUAUCUAUCGCUGAGGACACUGUAAAAGGUGGCCAAGGUAAAUGCAGAUGAACCGCUUCUAAUAGUCCAUUGACUUGGACAAUAAAUUAAUUUUUAUGAUCUGAUCUCAAAUCAGGUAGGACUACCCGCUGAACUUAA
rnacentral:misc_RNA from 1 species